rnacentral:rRNA from 1 species
UAUCUAAACGGAGAGAUUCAAUACCGACCUUAACACUCGGUGUGCACUUCUCUCUUAGUAAGACGCCGUGAUCCAUUAGAAAUUGGUGAACGCCAGUUCAUAUGAGGUCAUCAAUGGGCUUGUACGAAGUUUAUCGGAACAAAUGGCGCGAUCUUUCAACGGUUGUGUGUAUUGUCUGGUAAGCGUGCGAGUACCCGCAAUGACUGUCUGAUGGAUUUUAAAGAUCAUAUCAUUAAUGCUUGCAUUACNCNNNUGANUGAGUGCGAUAUGUAUCCGAUCNACGGCGGUCAAAUUUGGGAUACCUUUUGGACCCGUCUUGAAACACGGACCAAGGAGUCUAUCUAAUGUGCGAGUAAAUGGGUAAUUUGUGAAACCUAUUUGCGCAAUCAACGUAACUAUUCGAUGGGAUUACGAGGCGAAUGAGUCUCUUCCAUCCCGGAGUAUUUUCAUCCACAUAUGCGCAAGUAUAUGGAAAAUAUAUCAUGAGCACAUUGGAUACGACCCGAAAGAUGGUGAACUAUGCUUGAUCAGGUCGAAGUCAGGGGAAACCCUGAUGGAGGACCGAAGCAGUUCUGACGUGCAAAUCGAUUGUCAGAAUUGAGCAUAGGGGCGAAAGACCAAUCGAACCAUCUAG